GCUUAAGGCCACACCGCCUGGUUCACCGCCCGAUCUCGUUUGAUCUCGGAAGCUCAGAUAGGCUGGGCCUGGUUAGUACUUGGAUGGGAGACCGCCUGGGAAUACCAGGUGCUGUAAGCU
ensembl:rRNA 5S_rRNA 5S ribosomal RNA